rnacentral:rRNA from 1 species
CAAAUCAUCAUCGCCCCUUAUGAUCUGGGCUACACACGUGCUACAAUGGCCGGUACAACGGGCAGCGGAGGGAGCGAUCCGGAGCGAAUACCUAAAAAGCCGGUCCCAGUUCGGAUUGCAGGCUGAAACUCGCCUACAUGAAGUUGGAGUUGCUAGUAAUCGCGAAUCAGAAUGUCGCGGUGAAUGCGUUCCCGGGUCUU